rnacentral:rRNA from 1 species
GACGAACGCGGGCGGCGUGCUUAACACAUGCAAGUCGUACGGUAAGGCCCUUUCGGGGGUACACGAGUGGCGAACGGGUGAGUAACACGUGAGUAACCUGCCCACAACUUUGGGAUAACGCUAGGAAACUGGUGCUAAUACUGGAUAUGUGCUCCUGCUGCAUGGUGGGGGUUGGAAAGCUCCGGCGGUUGUGGAUGGACUUGCGGCCUAUCAGCUUGUUGGUGGGGUAGUGGCCUACCAAGGCGGCGACGGGUAGCCGGCCUGAGAGGGUGACCGGCCACAUUGGGACUGAGAUACGGCCCAGACUCCUACGGGAGGCAGCAGUGGGGAAUAUUGCACAAUGGGCGCAAGCCUGAUGCAGCAACGCCGCGUGCGGGAUGACGGCCUUCGGGUUGUAAACCGCUUUCAGCAGGGACGAAGCUUUUUGUGACGGUACCUGCAGAAGAAGCACCGGCUAACUACGUG